GACGAACGCUGGCGGCGUGCUUAACACAUGCAAGUCGAACGGAAAGGCCCUGCUUUUGUGGGGUGCUCGAGUGGCGAACGGGUGGGUAACACGUGAGUAACCUGCCCUUGACUUUGGGAUAACUUCAGGAAACUGGGGCUAAUACCGGAUAGGAGCUCCUGCUGCAUGGUGGGGGUUGGAAAGUUUCGGCGGUUGGGGAUGGACUCGCGGCUUAUCAGCUUGUUGGUGGGGUAGUGGCUUACCAAGGCUUUGACGGGUAGCCGGCCUGAGAGGGUGACCGGCCACAUUGGGACUGAGAUACGGCCCAGACUCCUACGGGAGGCAGCAGUGGGGAAUAUUGCACAAUGGGCGGAAGCCUGAUGCAGCAACGCCGCGUGCGGGAUGACGGCCUUCGGAUUGUAAACCGCUUUCGCCUGUGACGAAGCGUGAGUGACGGUAAUGGGUAAAGAAGCACCGGCUAACUACGUG
rnacentral:rRNA from 1 species